rnacentral:tRNA from 1 species
CGGGGCGUAGUAUAAUGGUAGUACGCGAGGCUGGGGGUCUUGCAGCUUGGGUCCGAUUCCCAACGCCCCGACCA